UGGGGAAUAUUGGACAAUGGGCGAAAGCCUGAUCCAGCCAUGCCGCGUGUGUGAAGAAGGUCUUCGGAUUGUAAAGCACUUUAAGGUGGGAGGAAGGGCAGUAAGCGAAUACCUUGCUGUUUUGACGUUACCGACAGAAUAAGCACCGGCUAACUCUGUGCCAGCAGCCGCGGUAAUACAGAGGGUGCAAGCGUUAAUCGGAAUUACUGGGCGUAAAGCGCGCGUAGGUGGUUCGUUAAGUUGAAUGUGAAAGCCCCGGGCUCAACCUGGGAACUGCAUCCAAAACUGGCGAGCUAGAGUAUGGCAGAGGGUGGUGGAAUUUCCUGUGUAGCGGUGAAAUGCGUAGAUAUAGGAAGGAACACCAGUGGCGAAGGCGACCACCUGGGCUCAUACUGACACUGAGGUGCGAAAGCGUGGGGAGCAAACAGG
rnacentral:rRNA from 1 species